rnacentral:rRNA from 1 species
GGGUUACGACUCACUCCAACCCCUGUGACAUACCUUAAUGUUGCCUCGGCGGAUCAGCCCGCGCCCCGUAAAACGGGACGGCCCGCCAGAGGACCCAAACUCUAAUGUUUCUUAUUGUAACUUCUGAGUAAAACAAACAAAUAAAUCAAAACUUUCAACAACGGAUCUCUUGGUUCUGGCAUCGAUGAAGAACGCAGCAAAAUGCGAUAAGUAAUGUGAAUUGCAGAAUUCAGUGAAUCAUCGAAUCUUUGAACGCACAUUGCGCCCGCUGGUAUUCCGGCGGGCAUGCCUGUUCGAGCGUCAUUUCAACCCUCAAGCCCCCGGGUUUGGUGUUGGGGAUCGGCUCUGCCUUCUGGCGGCGCCGCCCCCGAAAUACAUUGGCGGUCUCGCUGCAGCCUCCAUUGCGUAGUAGCUAACACCUCGCAACUGGAACGCGGCGCGGCCAUGCCGUAAAACCCCAACUUCUGAAUGUUGACCUCGGAUCAGGUAGGAAUACCCGCUGAACUUAAGCAUAUCAAGGAGGCGGAGCGAGGUGUAAAAUCCCCAAACCCUCGUGGAAAAAACCCUAAAGGGUGGGCUGGGGGGGAAAACGCGGGCCCGGAAAAAAGAAAGGAC